rnacentral:rRNA from 1 species
UUUACACAUGCAAGUCGAACGGUAACAGGUCUUCGGAUGCUGACGAGUGGCGAACGGGUGAGUAAUACAUCGGAACGUGCCUAGUAGUGGGGGAUAACUACUCGAAAGAGUAGCUAAUACCGCAUGAGAUCUACGGAUGAAAGCAGGGGACCUUCGGGCCUUGUGCUACUAGAGCGGCUGAUGGCAGAUUAGGUAGUUGGUGGGGUAAAGGCUUACCAAGCCUGCGAUCUGUAGCUGGUCUGAGAGGACGACCAGCCACACUGGGACUGAGACACGGCCCAGACUCCUACGGGAGGCAGCAGUGGGGAAUUUUGGACAAUGGGCGAAAGCCUGAUCCAGCAAUGCCGCGUGCAGGAUGAAGGCCCUCGGGUUGUAAACUGCUUUUGUACGGAACGAAAAGCCUGGGGCUAAUAUCCCCGGGUCAUGACGGUACCGUAAGAAUAAGCACCGGCUAACUACGUGCCAGCAGCCGCGGUAAUACGUAGGGUGCAAGCGUUAAUCGGAAUUACUGGGCGUAAAGCGUGCGCAGGCGGUUUUGUAAGACAGUGGUGAAAUCCCCGGGCUCAACCUGGGAACUGCCAUUGUGACUGCAAGGCUAGAGUGCGGCAGAGGGGGAUGGAAUUCCGCGUGUAGCAGUGAUAUGCGUAGAUCUGCGGAGGACACCGAUGGCGAAG